CCAUGCUGGUUGUCUCAGAUCACCUCCUCAUUUCACAUGUGCCUUAAUAUCUCUUCCAGGAGGAUCCAUUCCAUGAUCUUUCCAGGCACAGAAUCACCAUAGAAUGUGUCUGAUGGCCACAACUUUUCAAAUACAAUGGAAAGCGCCUGGAAACCACAUCAAACUACUCCUUCAGGAUCCUAAAGUGAAGUUGUAAGCCUGAUUGCUCAUCCACCAUCAGUUUGUCACCAGCUAUGUCUUUGAGUUCAGUCACAACAAGCAGAAGCACAAGGGAAAGCCAUGAUGGCUUC